ACGCACCGUGCAGGGGGCCGGGCCUCGGCGGAGUCCCACCGGCCCGGGCUGCAGCCCGGUGGCCUAGACCCCGACCCCACCUCUCCACGCCCGCCUGGCCCGCUAACCUCACCUCGCCCCCGCGGCCGACCUCCGCCUCGGCCACCGCAGCCCACCCCGGCGGCCGGCGGGGUGCAGGUUACCCGCGGCCCGGCUGUAGGAGGCAGGAUGUGGUGCUCAUGCGCACACCGUGAGCUCCCAUUCGCUGCUGCUAAGCGACGCCAAACAGACCAAUCGUGGGGCGUCUCUGCUGUCCAGUUGUUCAGACCCGGGAAUUGAGUGAAUCUACCAGGGCUGGCCCGGGUUUGCUCCCCUCAGCCCGCGUCUCUUCCGCAGGUCCCCAGGCCCACGUGCGAGUCUCACCUCGAGCGGUGAGAAGAGGCUCCGACGUCCCCACGAUGCCUGGCCUGGAGCGGACAGGGCUGUUCUCCAGAGGCGUCUAGGCCCCGUGUGACUGGAGUGACACUCCCUGGGCGUGGGUUCUUGCAGGCUACGCAGCUGGGCAAGAGGCCCGAGAUAGAGGAUCCGAAGAGCACAGCCUUCUGCCAGCCUGGAGGAGGUGCCAAAGUCCGAUCCCUGAGCCACACACACCUCGCUAUGAGGCUGGAGGGAGAUUGGGUAGCACAGUUAGGCCCUUACUGUUUUGACAAGUGCUGAGCACCGCUGUUUGCCGCGCACUGCGUACACAGGAAGUGUGAACACAGAAACCAAAUCAAGAGAAGGGGGUAGGGCACCAGGCAGGAAUUCUGGUGUUUAAACACGAGUUAUGCUUCACAGAAGCAUGGGUUCCAAAGAGAAUUUACAGGAACAGUUGUCUUGGAGUUGGGGCUCAGGAAAAGCUUCUCCAAGUCUCAGGCCAUUGGGCAAGGGAGAGUUUGUGUGUUUCAGAGACAUUUGCUUGUGCACAGAACUCUGUGGGGCUGAGGAUGUAUCUCUGUUGAUAGAAUAACUGAACUACAAAACCCCGGGUCAGGCCUGUCACCCUCUUCAUACAUCAGAACUCCAGGCUUUCCUUGGAACGUCCCGGCUCUGGUUCUCAGGACCUCAGCUUCUCACUAAUGUUACAUCAUCAGCUUCACGGAUACUUCAUUUUUAUCCCUUGAGACAGGGUCUUGUGUAUCCCAAGCUGACCUUGAAUUCACUGUGUAGCAGGCUGACUCUGAAGGCUAUCCUACAAACUCCAUUUGCUGGGCGCUGGGAUUACCGAUGUGUGUGUGCUUCCACAGCAAGGUUGUGUGGCUCUGGAGCUCAACCCCAGGGCUUCCUGCCUUCUAGACAAGAGCACUACCCACUGGGCCACAUCCCCAGUCCCAGCUCCCCUGAUUCUGAGGCCAAGUGCAAGUCAGUGAACCCCAGAACUGGCUCCCCUGGUUCUCAGCCUCUGUCACCACAUGAGCAUGUUCCCCUCAUAAACCACCAUAUAGUCAGAGAGAGCCUAUCCAUUCCAUCUCUGCGGAGAAGCCUACAGUGGGUGCCAACCUAGCAGCUGGAUAGACACGGUACAUGGAGAGACCUGAGCUGAGUGAAGACUUCUAAACGACACUUCUCUGGUGGGUGGAAAUGGAAGCAGGGCUUAUGUAACCACAGACAAAUUACAAAACGAACACAGGAAGACUUGUGACAGCCUAAGAUAGCCUUUGGGCAUUAUUGUGUUCUGGUAUUCAAGUCAUGCCAUGGUUCCCUCCCACACCAAGUCAGGGCUUGUCUGUAACAAGUCCCAACAAGGCUAGUUCAUAACAUUCACAAAGGAGAAAAACAUGAAGGAG
rnacentral:lncRNA from 1 species